ACCUUUGAUGCUGGGUCUGGCAUUGUUCUUAAUGACAACCUUGUAAAAUUCAUUUCCUGAUAUGAAGAUAAAUAUGGCUACAGCAACAGAGUGGUGAACCUCAUAGCCUACAUGGACUCCAAGGAGUAUGAAGCCCUGGAUCACCCACCCAAGCAAAGAGAUGAAAGCAAGAGAGAGGCCCUCAGCUGCUGAGGAAUCCCUGGCCCAACUCAGCUCCCUAUACUGAGUAUCUCCCUCACAAUAAUGGGAGGGGCCUAUGGAGCCCUAUUCUCUUGAAUACCAUCAAUAAAGUUCACUGUACCUCCAAAUGAAU
rnacentral:lncRNA from 1 species